rnacentral:rRNA from 1 species
GGACAUGUGGACAGUAUGGGAGUGAGAAUGUUGGCAUGAGUAGCGAGAUGUGGGUGAGAAUCCCACAGGCCGUAAACCCAAGGUUUCCAGGGGAAGGUUCGUCCGCCCUGGGUUAGUCGGGACCUAAGCUGAGGCCGAAAGGCGUAGGUGAUGGACAACAGGUUGAUAUUCCUGUACUACCGAUAACCGUUUGAGAGAAGGGAUGACACAGUAGGAUAAGCUAAGCACACUGUUGGUUAUGUGUGCC